rnacentral:rRNA from 1 species
GCCUACGGGGCGCAGCAGUGGGGAAUCUUGCACAAUGGGGGAAACCCUGAUGCAGCGACGCCGCGUGAGCGAUGAAGCCCUUCGGGGCGUAAAGCUCUUUCGGCAGGGAAGAUUAUGACGGUACCUGCAGAAGCAGCUGCGGCUAACUACGUGCCAGCAGCCGCGGUAAUACGUAGGCAGCGAGCGUUGUUCGGAGUUACUGGGCGUAAAGGGUGUGUAGGCGGUCGUUUAAGUUUGGUGUGAAAUCUCCCGGCUUAACUGGGAGGGUGCGCCGAAUACUGAAUGACUAGAGUGCGGGAGAGGAGAGUGGAAUUCCUGGUGUAGCGGUGAAAUGCGUAGAUAUCAGGAGGAACACCGGUGGUGCAGACGGCUCUCUGGACCGUUACUGACGCUGAGACACGAAAGCGUGGGUAGCAAACAGGAUUAGAUACCCUGGU